CAGCCGCCGCGGGAAUACGAAGGGGGCUAGCGUUGUUCGGAUUUACUGGGCGUAAAGCGCACGUAGGCGGAUCGAUCAGUCAGGGGUGAAAUCCCAGAGCUCAACUCUGGAACUGCCUUUGAUACUGUCGAUCUGGAGUAUGGAAGAGGUGAGUGGAAUUCCGAGUGUAGAGGUGAAAUUCGUAGAUAUUCGGAGGAACACCAGUGGCGAAGGCGGCUCACUGGUCCAUUACUGACGCUGAGGUGCGAAAGCGUGGGGAGCAAACAGGAUUAGAUACCCCGGUAGUCCCUGUCUCUUAUAC
rnacentral:rRNA from 1 species